CUCUGUUCUGGCCAUUCUCUAUGUGGAAUGGAAUGAUACUAUAUGUCUAUGUUCUGGCCAUUCUCUUGUGAAUGUCUAUCAAUGUCUCUGUUCUGGCCAUUCUCUAUGUGAAUGUCUACAAUGACUCUGUUCUGGCCAUUCUCUAUGUGAAUGUCUAUCAAUGUCUCUGUUCUGGCCAUUCUCUAUGUGAAUGUCAUUCAAUGACUCUGUUCUGGCCAUUCUCUCUGUGAAUGUCUAUCAAUGUCUCUGUUCUGGCCAUUCUCUAUGUGAAUGUCUCUCAAAUGUCUCUGUUCUGGCCAUUUCCUAUGUGAAUGUCUUCAAUGACUCUGUUCUGGCCAUCUCUAUGUGAAUGUCUAUCAAUGUCUCUGUUCUGGCCAUUCUCUAUGUGAAUGGAUAUCUAUGUCUCUGUUCUGGCCAUUCUCUAUGUGAAUGUCUAUCAAUGUCUCUGUUCUGGCCAUUCUCUAUGUGAAUGGAUAUCUAUGUCUCUGGUCUGGCAUUCUCUAUGUGAAUGGAUUAUCUAUGUCUCUGUUUCUGGCUUCUCUAUGUGAAUGGAUAUUAUGUCUCUGGUCUGGCCACUCUCUAUGUGAAUGGAUAUCUAUGUCUCUGGUCUGGCCACUCUCUAUGGAAUGGAUAUCUAUGGCCUCUGGUCUGGCACUCUCUAUUUAUGUGAAUGUUUUCUAUGUCUCUGGUCUGGCCACCCUCUAUGUGAAUGGAUAUCUAUGUCUCUGGUCUGGCCACCCUCUAUGUGAAUGGAUAUCUAUGUCUCUGGUCUGGCCACUCUAUGUGAAUGUGUAUCUAUGUCUCUGGUCUGGCCAUUCUCUAUGUGAAUGGAUAUCUAUGUCUCUGGUCUGGCCACUCUAUGUGAGUGUGUAUUUAUGUCUCUGGUCUGGCCAUUCUCUAUGUGAAUGUGUAUCUAUGUCUCUGGUCUGGCCACUCUAUGUGAAUGUGUCACCCACCCUUUGACUAACAACACAAACCCACACAGCGUUAUGUUUCUCUUUGACUUCAGACCCCUGUGACAGUUUUGUGGUUAAUGUGUUGUACUGAUGAUGACUGAAACAUCCAGUGCAGUGAGACAGCAACUAUAUUAUGUGAAUGUGCCCCACCCUUUGACUAAAAACAAAACAUCGUAAUUUGUCCCCCACCUUUUGACUAAAAAUGAAACACACGUACCUGUGUCUUAAUCCACCAACCUACUAGUACAACCAGCUACACUCCCCUCAGAAUUAGAAGUGUGUGUGUGUGUGUGUGUGUGUGUGCGCGCAGACAUUGCAUAAACAGUGCUAUGGUUUGAAUGUGGAACUAUACGCUGAUCCCACUAAAGCUGCAUAGGAAUCUUAAUGCGCUUCCCCAUCAGACCAUGAGAGUCAGAGUUCCACACGUGGAAUGGAUCUCACCUUAGGAUUUGUUUCUGUGUGAUUUUACAGAGACUAUUUUCAGAUAGAUACACACAAGACACUGAUCCAGGUUUUUUUUGGCAAAGAAAAGUCUUGGGCGGGCCUCCGAAGUGUUUUUUCAGGCUGCAUAUGUCCAAACAGUAAAAAAAGAUAUAAUAAUAAAAUAAAUAAAGAAAACAACAAGGAUGGAAAGACGUUGUCAGUGUAAACCUCAACGACUCAAACCAGAUAUAAAGUAUGUAGAAAAGAUAACAGACCUAUAUAUUUUUAUACAAUCAUCUUUGAGGACCAAAAGUCACCAAAAUAAAAGAUAGAAAGUCCAGGACAAUCUAAAACUCCAAAAAUUAUACAUUCAGUUUUUUUUUGUCAUGGCAUGGGGCCUCCAUUGACUUUGUUCUAAUUUGAGAGUCAUUCACAUAGCAUAAGCCAUGGCAACAUGUUUAGAAUGGCAGCAAUUGAUCUUUAAACUGCACAUUUCUCUCUCAGCCUCAUGGCAGAAUUGCAGGAAAUGUACUUUAAAACGGUGGUCAACAGGAAGGCCUCAAACAUUUUCGGUCAGCCACCGCACCAUUGGCCAGGCCCACCACCUAAGCCCCAUAUUGAUCCAUAAAAACCCUGUGAUCCUUCUAGCUAAAGCUUCUACAAACACUAAAACAUUAGUAAUCUUAAAGUUCACUAACGUUUGUCACAUGUUUCCAGACCACAGAAGUGGUCUAACAUCUGACCAAAGUUGGUUUUAGAGUGAAGUAUCAAUGGAAGUUUCCGGCACGGCAUGUUGUAAUAAUAACCAACUACAUGACACUGUUCCAGACAGAUAGCUCAGACUUAAACACUGUGACAGGGAGAAAUGCUUUGUUCUGGUGGUUGGAGUGAAUGAGGACCUUCCCUUUGAGGGCACUCUAGAGCACCUUCCCCCUAAACCCUUUUCCACCCACCACUUCUUACUCCCUGGCAGAAUCUGUCCUUUGUUUUUAACCUCCAGGCCAAAUGCCUUCGUUGACGUUUGUAAGCCUCAACCAGUCCAACCAGUUUGUGGUAAAAAAUAAUCAUAAUAAAUAAAGCGAAAGAGAGAGAGAGAGAGCGAGAGAGAAACAGCUGAGGUUAGGUACAUGCAGAACCAUACAGAGUGCCAGCCACAUGAACAACACUACUCAACUACAGGAUGCCUGUGCAAUCUAAAAAAUCUAAAUUAUUAUAUGGAUUAUAAUGAAUGGAUAUUGUUUGUCGGGGUGAUACAUUUAUCGUAAAUUAAACCCUUAAAUCCACGACAAGCUGUCCUGCAACAGGGCGAUCAUAUGAAUAUUCUACAUCUGUAUGCUAGCAACUUUAACAUUUUAAAUUAAAAGCUAUCACCUUAUUUUUAAACAGUGGUCUACCGUUAUACAUACAUUCAACCACAAGCACACAGAGACCCCCCCCCCCCCAGCCACAAACACACAGCCCCCAACACACAUGUUCACAUUCAAACACACUUACCUCUUCCACAGUUAGUGGCAUGCAUUCUAUACUCUUCAUCAACAUGGUCACUGUGUAGUGAACGUCUGUCUGUCUUUGCGUGUCCUAACUCUCCUGUUGCAUAGUAAGCGUGCUUAAAGACUAUAGUGCACAGCCCUACUGCAGUGACCUCCUUCUCUCCCUUAUUUUGCUGAUGUCAGUGCUUCAUUCAAGUCCAGUCCACUCUGUCAAUGUGAAUCUAUUAGUUUCUCUACACUUUCUCUUUUCCCCCCCUCCUCUCUCUCCUCUCCUCUCCUCUCUCCUCUCCUCCUUUUUGUUAAUUCUCCGGUUAAUAUCUCACUCCUCUGUCAACAUUCAAAUGUUGUCUUCCCUCGUUUCUUCUAUCCCUUGUUCCCCCCUCUCCCUAUCUCCCGCCCUCUCUCUAUCCCUUGUUCCCCCCUCUCCCUAUCUCCCGCCCUCUCUCUAUCCCUUGUUCCCCCCUCUCCCUAUCUCCCUCCCUCUCUCUAUACCUGGUUUUCCCCUCUGCCUCUCUCUUUCUCCGUUGCCCUUAUUGUUUACUCUUUCUUUGUUCUCCUCCAGUGAGCAACAGAUAAUUAACUUGUGAACUAAGACUGAAACCUUCUCAACUCCAUAAUCCACACUAUCGUACCUGUCCUGCUAUUCUCUCUCUCUCCUCUGUCUCUCUUACUUUCGUUCUCUGGACUGCUCUCACGUGUAACCUCGCUCUCUGCUCGGCACUCCUCCCUCUCCCCGUCGCCUCCCUCCCCUGCUUUCAGUUCCUCACAAAUUCCUUCACUCCCGCCUUCUCUCCCUCCCCAUCUUCUCACGCCCACCUUACUUUACCUACGUACCUGUUUCUGCUCUCUCUCACACACACACAGCCAACGUUUUGAC
ensembl:lncRNA